rnacentral:misc_RNA from 1 species
CUUGGUCAUGAGGAAGUAAAAGUCGUAACAAGGUUUCCGUAGGUGAACCUGCGGAAGGAUCAUUAACAAUUAGAGUUAGUAGGGUAUAGAUUCUUUCUAUCUCAAAUCUUUCUAGAUUAGAGUGGAAGGGUCGCCUAUCCUACAGCGAACUGCGAUACCGAGUCUUCAUACACAGUAUGAGACCGCUAAUUACAAACAAGUAACCUGGGGUACUUUGAAGUGGAGGUAACACUCUGCUUUGGAGCCCUGCUAAUAAUCCCUUUAUUAUACCAUUCUACCCUUUAAACUAUAAGACUGAUAUGACAUGAUUUAAUGUCAAAAUUAAAUCUAUAAACAACUCUUAACAAUGGAUAUCUAGGUUCUG